rnacentral:rRNA from 1 species
AUACGGAGGAUCCGAGCGUUAUCCGGAUUUAUUGGGUUUAAAGGGAGCGUAGGCGGACGCUUAAGUCAGUUGUGAAAGUUUGCGGCUCAACCGUAAAAUUGCAGUUGAUACUGGGUGUCUUGAGUACAGUAGAGGCAGGGGGGAUUUGUGGGGUGGCGGGUGAAUGCUUAGAUAUCACGAAGAACUCCGAUUGCGAAGGCAGCCUGCUGGACUGUAACUGACGCUGAUGCUCGAAAGUGUGGGUAUCAAACAGGAUUAGAUACCCUGGUAGUCCACACAGUAAACGAUGAAUACUCGCUGUUUGCGAUAUACAGUAAGCGGCCAAGCGAAAGCGUUAAGUAUUCCACCUGGGGAGUACGCCGGCAACGGUGAAACUCAAAUGAAUUGACGGGG